CUUUAACUCGGCGCUGCGUCCUAAACACGGAGCACUUGGGAGACCACGAUGUCGUCUUCCUUCUGUCAGGAGGAUCCAAGUGAAGCUACAGGAGUUUCAUUAACGUCAAUAACUUGGACCGAACAGUUUGUUUUGCUUAUGAAGAGCAGGAGGCAGCCUGGAGAGAAAGAGGAGCCGGGUUGAGCCCACUACUAUCAUCCACGUACCACGAGGAAGAUGAGGGAGAGAAAUUAUCCUACCAUUAAAGAGACUGUGCAAAGAAUGUUGAGAACAUCACCACUCUACAGGAAGAAACAGUCCAGUAAUGUGUGUCAGAAGUUCAGUAGUGAACGACAGGUAGUACUGACGCAUUUACGGAGAUGGGACAUGAGGGCCUUGUCUGCGUGCCCAAGAGAAGAUUCCACAGAGUUUAAGCUGAGCAGGCUGCAGCAGGUUUGGAUGAAUCCUCCUCUGAAGAGGAAAC